GCGGCUCGGUAGUCCAGUGGUUAGCACGUCGGCUUCACAGUGCAGAGGUACCGGGUUCGAUUCCAGCUCCGGCCUCCCUGUGUGGAGUUUGCAUGUUCUCCCCGGGCCGGCGUGGGUUUUCUCCGGGUGCUCCGGUUUCCUCCCACAUUCCAAAAACAUGCAUGGCAGGCUGAUUGAACACUCUAAAUUGUCCCUAGGUGUGAGCGUGGAUGGUUGUUCGUCUCUGUGUGCCCUGCGAUUGGCUGGCAACCGAUUCAGGGUGUCCCCCGCCUACUGCCCGGAGACAGCUGGGAUAGGCUCCAGCACCCCCCGCGACCCUAGUGAGGAUCAAGCGGUUAGGAAGAUGAAUGAAUGAAUGAAUGAAUGA